rnacentral:rRNA from 1 species
GAAUGAACGCUGGCGGCGCGCCUAAUACAUGCAAGUCGAGCGAGAAGACGUAGCAAUACGUUUGUAAAGCGGCGAACGGGUGAGGAAUACAUGGGUAACCUACCCUAGAGUGGGGAAUAACUAGCCGAAAGGUUAGCUAAUACCGCGUACGCUCCUUGGACUUCGGUUCAGGGAGGAAAGCGAUGCCGAGGGUAUCGCGCUCUUGGAUGGGCUCAUGUCCUAUCAGCUUGUUGGGAGGUAACGGCUCACCAAGGCUUCGACGGGUAGCUGGUCUGAGAGGACGAUCAGCCACACUGGCACUGCGACACGGGCCAGACUCCUACGGGAGGCAGCAGUAAGGAAUAUUGCGCAAUGGGC